GCCUGGGUGGCUCAGUAGGUUAAGCGUCUGACUUUAGCUCAGGUCAGGUCAUGAUCUCACACUCCGUGAGUUCGAGCCCCAUGUCGGGCU
rnacentral:tRNA from 1 species